AGCGAACGCUGGCGGCAGGCCUAACACAUGCAAGUCGAACGAACUCUUCGGAGUUAGUGGCGGACGGGUGAGUAACACGUGGGAACGUGCCUUUAGGUUCGGAAUAACUCAGGGAAACUUGUGCUAAUACCGAAUGUGCCCUUCGGGGGAAAGAUUUAUCGCCUUUAGAGCGGCCCGCGUCUGAUUAGCUAGUUGGUGAGGUAAAGGCUCACCAAGGCGACGAUCAGUAGCUGGUCUGAGAGGAUGAUCAGCCACAUUGGGACUGAGACACGGCCCAAACUCCUACGGGAGGCAGCAGUGGGGAAUCUUGCGCAAUGGGCGAAAGCCUGACGCAGCCAUGCCGCGUGAAUGAUGAAGGUCUUAGGAUUGUAAAAUUCUUUCACCGGGGACGAUAAUGACGGUACCCUGAGAAGAAGCCCCGGCUAACUUCGUG
rnacentral:rRNA from 1 species